ensembl:snRNA U6 U6 spliceosomal RNA
AUACUCACUUUGGCAGCAUAUAUACUAAAAUUGAAACAAUACAGAGAAGAUUAGCAUGGCUCCUGCCCAAGGAUAACAUGCAAAUUCGUGAAGCAUUCCAUAUUUUU